rnacentral:tRNA from 1 species
GGCGGCGUAGCCAAGUGGCCCAAGGCGAGUGAUUGCAAAUCACUUAUCCGCCGGUUCGAAUCCGGCCGCCGCCUCCA